rnacentral:lncRNA from 1 species
CCCCGCGAACCUCCCCCACCUCUCCACGAGUCGCCAGAGCCACUAUGGCCUCGAGUCCCAUCGCCACCCGUAGCCUCUUCCGCCGUGACCCGUGCCAUCGUCAUUCUGAUCCUUCUCGGCGUCCGUGCAGUGCGGGGAUGGACGCGGCACUCUUCCCCGAGCUCGUCGGUGCUCGGAGCGUCGGCAACGGUGGCCGGAGUCGCCGGGGCUCGUCGCCGGAGCCGCGCCCCUGCUCUGCUCCGUCGGGCACGCGCGAGGAGGAAGAAAGAGCCAGGCCAGGCGGGCCCCCUCCUUUCCCCGACCCCACCUGGCAGCCACUCAGGCCCGGCCCCGCCCCUGCAUGCGUUGACCCGGGCGGCCAGCAUGGAUAAGUGACGGGCCCCACCCCGUGGGACCCACACGUCAGCGACCCCAGCCCCGGACCCGCGCGCGCUUAAGUGGAAGCGUACUUCAGGAAGUACGUUUUCGCGUGAAGUAAGCGUAUUCCGCCUCUGCUUUACUUGAAUACGCUUUCUCCGUUCUGAAGACGUAUUUCCUAAAAUGUGUUUUUUGUUUUUCAGCUCAGGGGCCUGUUUGUAGAGUUAUUUUUAUAGAUUGGUCCCUGAACUUCGUCGGGCUAUAACUUUUUGCUCGCAACUCCGUUUGAGGUGAAUCCAAAGCCCACUUCUUCGUUUCGUCGAGCCCGUUCUGAUGGAAUUAUUUUCACCAUGUUUUGACAUUCUGAAAAUGACCAUUUUGCCCCUGCCCUUAUUCAGUCCCCUCCGAGAGAGUACGUUUUCCGGCUAUCCUUUCUGCGAGUUUCUCACACUUUCUCCCGGUGAUUUCUUCCACCCCACUCAAGACACAGCCUCCAUUUGCAUGAUUGCAAUGCAGUGACAUGGUUUAUUUAUUUGAACCUAUUUAAAAUAUUGCAUUAGCUAUGUGUGAUCUGUUCAUGGCAUUUCUCGGAGUAUGGUUUUGAUCUUGAUAUUGCCAUGAUAUUGCUUGGAGUUCUAGGACAUAUGUUUUGAUGAUUAUGUGGAUGACAUGUGCCUUUGGAUUCUUAGUGGCUAUUAUGAUUAUUUUCAUGAUGGUAUCUGGUAUUACUUUGGAGUAUUACUUUGGAUAUCAUGUUGCCUUUGGAUUAUUAGUGGCUAGUGUUAGUUUUAUCAUGAUGCUAGUUGAUAUUAUGUUUUGGAGUAUGAUGAUGGAGAUGAUGCUUGCAUGUGGAUCAUAGCUGGAUAGUUAGUUCUUGAUAUUUGAGUAGUAGUAUUAUCGUUCUUGGAUUCAUCAUGAUAGUAGUGUUAUACUGUCCUCGGAGUAUUUUGAUAUGACGAUAUUAAGCUUUGGAUUACUUGUUGGAUAUUGCUAUGACUUGGAUUAUAGGUUGAUAAAUGAUAUCGGAGUAUCAGUCAUUACUAUUAUAUUUUGGGGAUAAAUUCCGUCAUUAAGUUGGUCAGGUGCCACCGAACCGGGCUUUUUCCAGUGCAACCACAUUUGCCUUUUAUGGGGAGGCCCUAAUGCGGUCUAUUGUCGUGCCUCUCGCCGGUGCCUCCAACGAGGGAAGGUUAUGGGCGUGCGGUACCCUGGCCCGGUAAGCAGACAUAACCUUGAGUGCCCGUUGUUGUUGUUAUGGAUCCGGGUCCCCGUUUGGGACCGUUUAUGUUUUGGCCACGACGGUCGUCGUUGUGUCUUUGGUAGACACGGGGCCACCCAGGACUAGCCUAGUGGGGAGUGAGUCGGAGUGGCCGGGAGAGUGUCACGGCAGUAGAUCGGUUUUGUCGGAACGCUGUUGGUCCACCCGAAUGGGAGUGCGAGGCCAUGGGUUCCGUGGUGUGGGUAAAGUGCGCUACCUCUACAGAGUGUGUAAUUAAAUCUAUCGAUAGCCGCGUCCUCGGUCAUGGGCAUGGGUUCGUACUAGGUCACACCGUUCAAUCAACACUCACAUGAUGGAAUGACUUAUAGGUGAUUUAUAUGUGGAUAUUUUGAGCAGUACAGAUUGGCAUGAUGUUGAUGAUGAUGUUGAGACCAAGUGUUGGUCAUGGUUGUGAUCGCUGGAAAGAUCACCGUUUGGUUUUGAUCACGAGGUGAUCGAGAUGGUAUAUUGCUUGGCCGGUGAGCCAAGAGAGAUAUGGUUAUGGAGAUCUGAGAUGGUGAUUUAUUAGUAUUGUAGUAGUUUCAUAUCAUGCUUAGUAGUUGCUGUCGUAUCAUGGUAGAUGUUAAUUUAAUUAACCUGCUUAAUGCUAUGUUGUUGUUUUGCCUUGAUGCUUCUGGUUGUUGUGAGCUUGCAAGUACAUUCAAUGUAUUGACCUGGCGUGUCAUGCCAGAUUGCAGGUGCUGCCGUGAUUGCUUGAUUGUUUGUUGAGGUGUCUGUUCGUGCGAGCUAGAUCGUGUCCCAGCCAGAGUCCCUACGGAGUGGAGUUCACCACCUUCGUCGUUGUUCCGCUGCUAGAAGUUUUUCGCUGCUACGAGUUGUUCCGCUGCUAGCAUAGAGCAAGUGUAGCAUCGCAGGCGUAGUGUCGCCAUGCUGAUGUGAUCAUUGUAACAUCAGACCCGUGUAAUUAUUAUUCUUGUAAUAAGAGCUGAUUUUUUCUAUGUCAAACAGUGCCGUAUUCCAGAGACUUCUCCUUGAUCUCUGGGCUGGAAUACGGGGCAUUCCGGUUUCUCUGAGCCGGGGUGCCACAAGGAGAGGUUCU